AGCGCAACCCUUGCCUUAAUUGCCAUCAUUAGUUGGGCACUUUAAUGGGACUGCCGGUGACAAACCGGAGGAAGGUGGGGAUGACGUCAAGUCCUCAUGGCCCUUAUGGCCAGGGCUUCACACGUAAUACAAUGGUCGGUACAGAGGGUUGCCAAGCCGCGAGGUGGAGCCAAUCCCAGAAAGCCCAUGGUAGUCCGGAUUGCAGUCUGCAACUCGACUGCAUGAAGUCGGAAUCGCUAGUAAUCGCGGAUCAGCAUGUCGCGGUGAAUACGUUCCCGGGCCUUGUACACACCGCCCGU
rnacentral:rRNA from 1 species